AUUCCAGCUCCAAUAGCGUAUAUUAAAGUUGUUGCGGUUAAAAAGCUCGUAGUUGGAUUUCUGGCAGGAGCGACCGGUCACACACUCUGUGUGUGAACUUGUGUUGUCUCUGGCCAUCCUUGGGGAGAUCCUGUUUGGCAUUAAGUUGUCGGGCAGGGGACAUCCAUCGUUUACUGUGAAAAAAUUAGAGUGUUUAAAGCAGGCUUAUGCCGUUGAAUAUAUUAGCAUGGAAUAAUAAGAUAGGACUUCGGAACUAUUUUGUUGGUUUGCGUUACGAAGUAAUGAUUAAUAGGGACAGUUGGGGGUAUUCGUAUUUCGUUGUCAGAGGUGAAAUUCUUGGAUUUCCGAAAGACGAACUACUGCGAAAGCAUUUACCAAGGAUGUUUUCAUUA
rnacentral:rRNA from 1 species